GACGAACGCUGGCGGCGUGCUUAACACAUGCAAGUCGAACGGAAAGGCCCCUUCGGGGGUACUCGAGUGGCGAACGGGUGAGUAACACGUGGGCAAUCUGCCCUGCACUUUGGGAUAAGCCUGGGAAACUGGGUCUAAUACCGAAUAGGACCACUUGGCGCAUGCCUUGUGGUGGAAAGCUUUUGCGGUGUGGGAUGGGCCCGCGGCCUAUCAGCUUGUUGGUGGGGUGAUGGCCUACCAAGGCGACGACGGGUAGCCGGCCUGAGAGGGUGUCCGGCCACACUGGGACUGAGAUACGGCCCAGACUCCUACGGGAGGCAGCAGUGGGGAAUAUUGCACAAUGGGCGCAAGCCUGAUGCAGCGACGCCGCGUGGGGGAUGACGGCCUUCGGGUUGUAAACCUCUUUCACCAUCGACGAAGGUCCGGGUUUUCUCGGAUUGACGGUAGGUGGAGAAGAAGCACCGGCCAACUACG
rnacentral:rRNA from 1 species